GUGGUCACUUGUGGGGACAUUUCAGGUUUUGUGUAGAAGUGGGGUCCGCCACAUACACAACCGAUUUUUAGACAAAGUGGGGACCAAUUCUACACACACUUUACUGGUUUUGAGACAAAUUAAGGACCAGUUCCAGAUACACAUUACCGGUAUUGAGUCAAAGUAGGGACCAGGUCUACACACACAUUACUGGUAUUGAGUCAAAGUAAGGACCAGGUCUACACACACAUUACCGGUAUUGAGUCAAAGUAGGGACCAGGUCUACACACACAUUACCGGUAUUGAGUCAAAGUAGGGACCAGGUCUACACACACAUUACUGGUAUUGAGUCAAAGUAAGGACCAGAUCUACACACACAUUACCGGUAUUGAGUCAAAGUAGGGACCAGGUCUACACACACAUUACUGGUAUUGAGUCAAAGUAAGGACCAGGUCUACACACACAUUACCGGUAUUGAGUCAAAGUAAGGACCAGGUCUACACACACAUUACCGGUAUUGAGUCAAAGUAAGGACCAGGUCUACACACACAUUACUGGUUUUGAGUCAAAGUAAGGACCAGGUCUACACACACAUUACUGGUUUUGAGUGAAAGUAAGGACCAGAUCUACACACACAUCACUGGUUUUGAGUCAAAGUA
ensembl:processed_transcript